CACUGGAUUGAAGAGUUUGGGAACUCUUCUUCUCUUUACUUUAUAAACCGUAUCAAUCUGUGUGGACACUCAUCGU
rnacentral:tRNA from 1 species